AACCGAACGACUCUCGGCAACGGAUAUCUCGGCUCUCGCAUCGAUGAAGAACGUAGCGAAAUGCGAUACCUGGUGUGAAUUGCAGAAUCCCGCGAACCAUCGAGUCUUUGAACGCAAGUUGCGCCCGAGGCCAUCCGGUCGAGGGCACGCCUGCCUGGGCGUCACGCCAU
rnacentral:rRNA from 1 species